AUGAAUAAACAUAUCUUUUCUACUAGCCAGACUCAGAACCCAGCCAUGUACUCACUCCUCUUUCCUGCCUCCUUUUCAUACAGGAUGUUGGAUUUUUUAUUUACAACCAGAGCAACACCCCUUCCUAAGGGUCAAAUUGUCUGGACUCCCUCAUCCAAGCCUUCCUUCCUGGGCCUCAGAAGCAGCUUUGUUGGAAAUGGUGGGCUGCCUGGUGAAGAAGCAAAUCUUUAUGAGGCCAUUCCAGGAUAAUUCAGGCACAAAAGACAUCUUAACAGCUUUAUUAUUUAGGAUCUGAUAAGGGAAAGACAAAAUCAAGAACUGUCAGGAAACAGAAGACGUUAAUGUAAGUCAUAAUUUUAAAAACCAAGAUACAGUUAUACAUUUUAAAACCACAGUAAUAGAUAAUAACCUUAAUAACCAGGGAUCAAACCAGUGUUCCUUGCAGUGGAAGCACCGAGUCCUAACCACUGGAUGGCCAGAGAAGUUCUUUGAUAGACAUUUGGGUUGUUCCUGUCUUUCAGCCACUGGGAACAGUGCUGCUAUGAACAUUUGUGUACAAAUAUUUCUUUGUAUACCCAUCUUCAAUGUUUUUGAGUAUAUACAUAGGAGUGGAAUUAUUAAUAUGCUAACAAUGUGCUAAUAUACUAAUUAUACAUUUAACUUUGCAAGACCAACUGAACUGUUUUCCACAGUAGUGCACUUUUUUUCCUUAUUAAAUGUUUUAUUUAUUUUUUAAAUUUAAAUUUAUUUUAAUUGGAGGCUAAUUACUUUACAAUAUUAUAUUGGGUAGUGCACUGUUUUACAUUCCCACCAUCCAUGUCCUCACCAACACUUGUUAUAUCCUGUUUUAGUAACAGACAUCUUGCUAGGAGUGAAUGGCAUCUCAUUGUGAAUUGUACACUUUAAAAUAGUUUGACUUAAAUUUCCCUAAUGAUUAAUAAUAUUGAGUAUCUUGCUGCUGCUGCUGCUAAGUCGCUUCAGUUGUGUCCGACUCUGUGCGACCCCAGAGACGGCAGCCCACCAGGCUCCCCCAUCCCUGGGAUUCUCCAGGCAAGAACACUGGAGUGGGUUGCCAUUUCCUUCUCCAAUGCAUGAAAGUGAAAAGUGAAAGUGAAGUCGCUCAGUUGUGUCCAACUCUUAGCGACCCCAUGGACUGCAGCCUACCAGGCUCCUCUGCCCAUGGGAUUUUCCAGGCAAGAGUACUGGAGUGGGGUGCCGUUGCCUUCUCCGAUUAAGUAUCUUGUCUUGUGCUUAUUGGCCACCUGUAUAUCUUCUUUAGAGAAAUGUCUAUUCAAAUUCUUUGCACAUAUUAAAAACUGUGUUGUUUUUUGUUGAGUUGUAUAUAUAUUCUGAAUACUAUAUACCUGUGAGAUUUAUGAUUCACAAAUAUUUUCUCCCAUCUGUUAGUUGUAUGUAUUUUCAACUUCUUGAUAGCUUCCUUUGAUGCACAGAAGUUUCUUAUUUUUAUGAAGUUCGAUUUAUCCACUUUUUUUUAUUGCUUAUGCUUUUCAUGUCAAGUCUAAGGAUCCAUUGCCAAAUCUAAGAUCAUGAAGUUUUAUUAUUAGGUUUUGUUCUGAGAGUUUUAUAGUUUAUGUCUUUGAUCCAUUUUUGAGUUAAUUUUGGUGUGUGGUAUAAGGAAAGGGUCCAAUUUCAUCUUUAUUUUAAUUGAGGAAUAUUUGAUGUACCAUACUAUAUAAGUUUCAGGCAAAAGAGUUGAUCAUGACUUAGCGACUGAACAACAACAAAUACAACAUAGUGAUUCACAGUUUUUAAAGGUUAUAUUCCAUUUAUAGUUAUUAUAAAAUAUUGGUGAUAUUCCCUGUGUUGUACUAUAUAUCUUUGUAGCUUAUUUAUUUUAUACAUAGUAGUUUGUACCUCUUAACAAUUUCAGUCUUUUGCAUGUGGAUAUCUAGCUCCAUUUACUGGAGACCCAAUUCUUUGCCUCAUUGAAUCAAUUGCGUGUGGAUAUCAGCUCCAUUUACUGGAGACACAAUUCUUUCCCCCAUUGAAUGGUCUCAGCACUCAAAAAAAAUCAAUUGGCCAUAGAUAUACAAAUUCAUUUCUGAACUCUCUAUUCCAUUGAUCUAUUUAGUUGUUUGCUUGCUUAGUGACUUUUCUAAACUAUUUUUGUAAAUUCUGUGUUGUCAUACGUGGCCACCUACGUCUGCUCUGUUAGCUUUGUGGUCAGAUAAUGUUUUGACAGUUUCCUUAAGGACCUGGAGAGAAGAAAAAGAGAAGAAGGAGGAGGAAGAGAGAAGGGAAAAAAAAAGAAAUCCCCUUUCUCCUAGUCUUUGCAAAUUGGCUCAGUGUCAGGGUACUCCUCCAAUGCUUAGCCAAGCCCUUUGCAACUCUGCUUAGCCUUCACAUCCUGCUUGCACAGAGCCUGAAGGCAAGCCAGAGGUGAGAGUUAAGGAUCUUUUAA
ensembl:lncRNA